UUUCCGUAGGUGAACCUGCGGAAGGAUCAUUAUUGUAUAACCGAGGUGCGAGGCCUGUCGCUGACCCGAAAGGUCGUGCACGCCCGAGUCCCCUCACACACAUCCAUCUCACCCCUAUGUGCACCACCGCGUGGGUCCCCCUUUGGCUUGUUCGGAGGGGGGCUUACGUUUUCACACAAACUUUGUAUGCAGUGUAGAAUGUAUUUUUUGUUUUUGCGAUCACGCAAUCAAUACAACUUUCAACAACGGAUCUCUUGGCUCUC
rnacentral:misc_RNA from 1 species